CACGUAGUUAGCCGCGGCUUUCUGAUUAGGUACCGUCAAGACGUGCACAGUUACUUACACGUUUGUUCUUCCCUAAUAACAGAGUUUUACGAUCCGAAGACCUUCAUCACUCACGCGGCGUUGCUCCGUCAGGCUUUCGCCCAUUGCGGAAGAUUCCCUACUGCUGCCUCCCGUAGGAGUCUGGACCGUGUCUCAGUUCCAGUGUGGCCGAUCACCCUCUCAGGUCGGCUACGUAUCGUUGCCUUGGUAACGCCGUUACCUUACCAACUAGCUAAUACGGCGCAGGUCCAUCUAUAAGUGAUAGCAGAGCCAUCUUUCACUUAUCCGAACCAUGCGGUUACGAAAUUAUUAUCCGGUAUUAGCUUCCCGGUUUCCCGAAGUUCUCCCAGUCUUAUAGGUUACGGUUACCCACGUGUUACUCACCCGUCCGCCGCUAACGUCAAAGGAGCAAGCCUCCUCGUCUUGUCGCUCGACUUGCAUGUAUUAGGCACGCCGCCAGCGUUCAUCCUGACGCCAGGACUCAAA
rnacentral:rRNA from 1 species